AUUGAACGCUGGCGGCAGGCCUAACACAUGCAAGUCGAACGGUAACAGGGAUCAGCUUGCUGAUUCGCUGACGAGUGGCGGACGGGUGAGUAAUGUCUGGGAAACUGCCUGAUGGAGGGGGAUAACUACUGGAAACGGUAGCUAAUACCGCAUAACGUCGCAAGACCAAAGAGGGGGACCUUCGGGCCUCUUGCCAUCGGAUGUGCCCAGAUGGGAUUAGCUAGUAGGUGGGGUAACGGCUCACCUAGGCGACGAUCCCUAGCUGGUCUGAGAGGAUGACCAGCCACACUGGAACUGAGACACGGUCCAGGCUCCUACGGGAGGCAGCAGUGGGGAAUAUUGCACAAUGGGCGCAAGCCUGAUGCAGCCAUGCCGCGUGUAUGAAGAAGGCCUUCGGGUUGUAAAGUACUUUCAGCGGGGAGGAAGGGAGUAAAGUUAAUACCUUUGCUCAUUGACGUUACCCGCAGAAGAAGCACCGGCUAACUCCGUG
rnacentral:rRNA from 1 species